rfam:Candidatus Schekmanbacteria bacterium GWA2_38_11 gwa2_scaffold_8102, whole genome shotgun sequence.
CGGGGCGUGGCGCAGCCUGGCAGCGCACUUGCAUGGGGUGCAAGGGGUCGGAGGUUCAAAUCCUCUCGCCCCGA